UCCUGGGGUAGUGUAGAUUUCAAAUUGUCUAAAUUUUGAUCAGUGGGGUAGGGUGGGGUCACAAUAUGUGUUACAAGGGGGAAAUCUGGUAAAGAACAGAAUGGUCAAAGCUUCUCAGGUGAGCGAUGUGGCCCAUGGGCCUCUUGUUUGUAAAAUUUCACAUUUUCAUCUUUGGUCAAAUUCAACGAAACUUGGCAAAGAGUAUCCUUGGAUAAAUGCCAUUAUGGGAUUUAAGUUUAUUCAAAUGAAGGCCCACUCCCUCUUCAAAUGGAAGAUUACUACAAAUAAGAGAAAAAUUAAGGACAUCUUUUAAAAAUCUUCUUUUCAAGAACCACUGAGACAGGAAAGAGACACUUAUGUGGCAUCAUCCUCAGGUAGUGUAGAUUCAAAAUUAGUCAAAUCAAGACCCCAUGUUGGUGUCAGAAUAGGGGAUCAAAAAUAUAUAUAAUACUGUAGAUUCCUUAUUUUUCGCGAGUAAUUAUCGCGAAUAGGCUUUUCACCGUCAAAUCACAAGAAUAAUAAUUCGCAAAUGCAUGGUUGGUUAAGAGAUUUUACAUAGAUUUCAGCGCCAUAAAAAUAAAGGCGAGUAAUUUAAUUUUGUGUGUGGUGCUUCUCACGAAAUUACGCGAAAAUUAAUUCCACGCACAUAUUUAGGAAUCUACAGUAUGUAGGGAUAUACUUUUUUUUUCUCAAGCCACAAUUAGUUAUAUUGAUAGCAAAUCAUCCUUUUUGGUAGUGAAGAUUUCAUUUUGUUCAAAUCAUGUCUACCGGGAAAAGGUUUGGGCCACAUUGGACAAUCAAAGUUUUACAUUGGAUUAUAUUGGAAAUAUUUUUAGAAAUCUUCUCAGAAACAAAUAUGUCAUGACUGGUGAUAUGUAUACGGUAGCAUCUUCAUGUAGUGUAGAUUUAAGUUUGUUCAAAUCAUGACUCCCAGGUGUAGGGCAGGGCCCCAAUGGUGGAUCAAAAUGGACAGGGGAAUACUGUAAAUCACUUUUUAUUCGCGAGAACUUUAUUUUCACAUUAUUACGCGAGACGGUAUGGUCGCGAAAAUUUCAUUCUCGCGUAUAAUAUAAUUCCUUAAGAUUAUAUAGAGCAAUGACCACAAUUUUGAAAAUUUUGUCUCGCUAAUGAAGAGUCAUUGACUAUCUCGCGAAAAUAAGGUGUCGCGAAAAUUAAGUGAUUUACAGUAUAUAGGAAACGUCUUCUCAAUAAUACCAAAGCCAUAUAUAGUCAUAUUGAUAUGGAAGCAUCCUUAGGUAGUGUAGAUUCAAAUUUGUCCAAAUCUUGAUUCCAGGGGGCAGGGAGGGGCAUCAAUGGGGAUAAAAUUUUAACAAAGGAAUAUAUAGGAAAAAAUUUUAUGUUCAAGAACAGCUAAGCCAUUGUUAUUGAUAUGAAAAUGUCUCCAGGUAGUUAUUCAAGCCCCCUUCUCCUCUUCCUAAAUUUUAUACUUUUCAAUACUGGACUAAUUUGUCAUUUACUAGCCAAUAUGCUUAGGUGAGCAUAUUGCCCAUUGGCCACUAGUUUAUUUUAGAAAUCUUCUCACUUGGUAUGAAGUGCAAGUGAUCCCCUUUUGGUGUCUGUUAAUUUUUAUCUUUUUAAGAGGAAUACUUUUAAGGCUGAACAGGAUCCUGAAGUGAGGAGGACUCCCUCUCUCAUUGAACUGCAUACAGCAGCAGAAAGCAGGAUUUCAGUUCCCCUUUGAUUCAGAAGAGGAACAACAAUGGAGGACCAAGGUCAUUAAUAUAAGAAGAGUCUAUUCCUGUCUGUGUUUUGCAGCAGAAGAAAGUUAAGACUGACCAGGAAUUCUAAGUGAGGAAGAGUCCCUUUCCCAUUCCGCUGCAGCCAUGAGGAGAAUACUCUAUUUUCAAGGAAUUUGACAAGGGAAGAGGACCAGUGCUGACCAAGUGAAGAAAAAGAAGAGUCUAUUGCCAAGCUUUGUACAGCAGCCAAUAUCUGAUUAAGGAGUGGAAGAUGAGACUGAUCUCAAUCAGUUAACAAGAAUGUGGAAAGUAAGGACUUACUACUGUCUAACCUAAACAUUGAUGGCAGGCGGUUAUGCUGGCAUUGAUCCUGUUUCCAAAAGCAGAUCAACAUGAUUCCUCAAGACUCCAAAGAGAUCAACUAUGGGACCUGAAAAUAAAGGCAGACUGCCAUCAAUUUCAUGUUUCUUUGAUAGCAGACAAAUAUGCUUCAACAAUAGUGCAGAGAGUAAUUUAAGGUUUGGACUGCAAGUGAUGGACACACUAAAUAACUCAACUCAAAGAAUUCAAUGGAUAGUGCUGAGUACAUUAUUAUAUAUCUACAAAGUGAUGGGCACACUAAAUAGCUUAACUGACAGAAUUCAAUGGACCGUGCUGAGAACAUUGUUAUAUAUCUACAAAGUGAUGGACACACUAAAUAGCUUAACUGACAGAAUUCAAUGGACCGUGCUGAGUACAUUGUUAUCUACAAAGUGAUGGACACACUAAAUAGCUUAACUCACAGAAUCCAAUGGACAGAGUUGAGUAUGUACUAAUAUCUACAAAGUGAUGGACACAGUAAACAGCUUAAUUCUCAGGAUUCAGUGUACCAUGCUGAGUACAUAACUCAUUAA